GUGGGGAAUUUUGGACAAUGGGCGCAAGCCUGAUCCAGCAAUGCCGCGUGCAGGAAGAAGGCCUUCGGGUUGUAAACUGCUUUUGUCAGGGAAGAAAUCUUCUGGGCUAAUACCCCGGGAGGAUGACGGUACCUGAAGAAUAAGCACCGGCUAACUACGUGCCAGCAGCCGCGGUAAUACGUAGGGUGCGAGCGUUAAUCGGAAUUACUGGGCGUAAAGCGUGCGCAGGCGGCUUUGCAAGACAGAUGUGAAAUCCCCGGGCUCAACCUGGGAACUGCAUUUGUGACUGCAAGGCUAGAGUACGGCAGAGGGGGAUGGAAUUCCGCGUGUAGCAGUGAAAUGCGUAGAUAUGCGGAGGAACACCAAUGGCGAAGGCAAUCCCCUGGGCCUGUACUGACGCUCAUGCACGAAAGCGUGGGGAGCAAACAGGAUUAGAUACCCCAGUAGUCC
rnacentral:rRNA from 1 species